GCGGGGGGCGCUGCUGUGGCCACCACGGCGGGUCGUGCGGGGGACUGGAAGCCACUUUGCCAAGGCUUCAGGCACUGAAGACGAGGUGAAGAGCCGCAGAGAUCGCGGAGGAGGAAAUGGGCACCUGUCUCGUGACUUCCCAGUUCGUGUGGUGUGAGGCCUCUGCCCCUGUGACGUCACCUGUCUGGAGCUUGCGGUCAUGCUGUGUGUACAGUGGGUACUGUGAUGCUUCACGUUUUGAGCGCCUGUGACUAUCCAGCUCCGGGAGGCCGCAGACAAGCCUUUGAGAGCUCGGCUAAAGCCUGUAUGUAUCUUGUGGGGGAAGAGGGAUGCAGGGAGUUCUGUGCCGUGCUGGUGUAAGAUGAAGGAAAACAAUGCUUAAAGCUUGUUGUUUUGGGGUGAUGCCAAUGUUUGGACCGUGAGCGGAGGCGAGCUGAGGUAGAGGUAAAGCGACCUAGAGCCACAACGUUUUGGGAGGUGGAGGACACAGGCAACUGCACACCGAUGGUGACUUCUGGGUCACCUGGAAGGAGGCCUCUGCCCUUUUGCUGGAGUUGUGUGCAUGAGCAGAGUGUGCAGAGGUGCCCGUGUAGCCUGUGAGAGAGGAAGGCAAUCGGGGACGAGGCUGGGCUGGAGAAGGAGCAGAAUUAUGCCAGGUUGGGAUCCUGCGCCGCGUGGAGGGAAAUGAAUGCUGGUUCAGGGACCAGAGCCAAGCAGUGCCCAUGGAGGCGGAAGCAGGAGGAAUUGAAUGCCGUGAAGUGUGUUGGCACCCAGUCCCUAACCCGAACCCAGGCCCGGAUUCAUUUGUUUCCCUAACCCACACCAGUACUCAUUGGCAAACCUGUUCCCUAACCCUAACCCUUUGCCUCACCUUAACCUGGACCCGGAUUCAUUUGCGGACCCAUUCCGUAAAUCGAAUCAACACCAGACUCAUUUCUGAACCCAUUCCUUAACAGUAACCUGGCCCCAGAUUCAUUUAAGAACCCAUUGUGUAAUGCUAACUGGUUCCCUAACCGUAAUCCAGACCCAGACUCAUGUCUGGAGCUCUUCGCUAACUGUAACCCUUUGCCUGACCCUAACCCAGACCUGAGCUUAUUUCUAGACCCAUUCUCUAACCCUAACCCACGCCCCGAUCCAGUUGUGGACCCAUUCCAUAACUAACAUGCACCCCAACCCUAACCUGCACUAAGAUACAUAUGUGGACCCGUUGUCUGACCCUAAUGCACACCUGGACCCGGAUUUAUUUGUGGACUCAUUCUGUCCCCCUAGUACUUGGCCUAACCAUAACUAGCCCUAGAUUCCUUUCUGAAUCUGUUUCCUAACCCUAGCAC